GUUGUUGUUGUUGCACUAAAGUGUGAAACAACCUAGGCACAAUUUGACAACAUGGCCAUCAGGUGCUCCUAGAACUCUUUUUGGUCUAAAUUUCUACACAGAUCUGCCAAUUUGAUCCAGAAGGUAUCCCAAAUGCCUAAAAGUCGC